CUACGGUCACUGACUUCUCUCUGCAUAUAUCCAGUAUCCUGGAUUAAGUUUACAUUCGGUUAUCAGUAUGAGAGAGGCUGUAAAUCUAUACACAGCGAAUGAACGAGCUGUUGGGUCGCUGAAUGUUAGGAUGUUUGUUCAUGAAGGGCGGAGUAGAUUUAUGCACUACCGGUGGUUGCAUUUUUAAAAAAAAAUUUGAAUGUGCAUCGCCAGAUGGCUUUAAGGUUUCUUUCUGUGGCUUUAGACCCACAACACAGCCAGGUAUUAAAGGUGGAUUGAAAAGUUGUGUGACUUCUUUGAAAUAUUUCUCUCAAUACCUAUAGGCCUACAACACAGACGGGAUUAAUGGA